rnacentral:rRNA from 1 species
AUUGAACGCUGGCGGCAGGCCUAACACAUGCAAGUCGAGCGGAUGAAGGGAGCUUGCUCCUGGAUUCAGCGGCGGACGGGUGAGUAAUGCCUAGGAAUCUGCCUGGUAGUGGGGGAUAACGUCCGGAAACGGGCGCUAAUACCGAAUACGUCCUGAGGGAGAAAGGGGGGGAUCUUGGGACCUCACGCUACAAGAUGAGCCUAGGUCGGAUUAGCUAGUUGGUGGGGUAAAGGCCUACCGAGGCGACAAUCCGUAACUGGUCUGAGAGGAUGAUCAGUCACACUGGAACUGAGACACGGUCCAGACUCCUACGGGAGGCAGCAGUGGGGAAUAUUGGACAAUGGGCGAAAGCCUGAUCCAGCCAUGCCGCGUGUGUGAAGAAGGUCUUCGGAUUGUAAAGCACUUUAAGUUGGGAGGAAGGGCAGUAAGUUAAUACCUUGCUGUUUUGACGUUACCAACAGAAUAAGCACCGGCUAACUUCGUG